UGGGCUGCUCGUGCUGUUGGUUUUGUGAGGUAGCCUGGGAGCCACCACUGCGGCCUUUUUGGGGCUGUUGGAGCCGCAUCUUAGCGUUGGAUCUUACUUAGCUCCAUCUGUGGGAUGAGCACCCUUUUGGCAGAGAGCGCAGCCCUUCACAGCCAUUUGGUGAAAGCAGUUUAGGUACCAGUAUCGCUUCCCUCAGAGCAAAGCAAGUAAAGCUUAAAAAAAAAGCCUGUUUGGAAAAGGUUUAAGUAAGGUGGGCUAGUACAGCUGAGUCCCAGUAUAUAUUGAGCACAGCACCAUAAAGGCCAUGGUUUAAAGGCCGUGUUGUGUUUUGGACUGGCCCAGGACUGCAGUAGAGUCUGAACGGGAAGCACGGCCUCACUUUUGCAUGGUCCCUGGUUGCUUUGCUGUGUGCUGCCAAUGAGUGAUAUUGGUUCCUGUCGGGAAACAGAGGUGGGCUGUAAAAAGAUUAAACUGAGUUUGGAGACAGGAAUAGGGAACUGCCUUCCUGGCUGAGUGGUUAGGCUCUGCAGUUAAUUUAGGAGGGCUCAGUCUGUUCUGAGACUUUUCAGGAGUUUCUUGUGGAGAUUGAUCUGGAGGACUAAGAAAGUGGAGCCAGUGGCACUAUAUUGACUCCACUGAUACUAUCCUCCUACAUUAAAUGGUGAAAGAACAAGGCCUGCCUGUGAGAUAAAAGUCAGGACCUACUUGAUCUACCUACAACGUUUAAUGGCAGUGAGAAAGAGCAAGUUAAAAGACAUGUGUUUCUGUAGUAAAAGGUUGGGUGUGUUUGUUUUAAAUCUACAUUAAAUUGUAUUUCAGGGCUAUUGUGUUGUCUCUUGUAUUUCUGCUUUUGGCAUGUCUCACCUGUGUAAUUGCUCACAGGCCCUUUGUUCCCGGCUCCAGCACUGGGUGAGGAGGGACACUGGACAUGCCUUCGAUUACGAUAGUUCUGUCGCAGCCUUAGCUGUCCUGUGCUGUGCCUGGUGAUGACCAUGGGGUCAUUCUCCUGAGCAGACUGCUCUGUACUCAGCCACCCGGCCUACAUUCUCCAAUUCUCUAGAUUCACCAAGCUGGCAGCAUAACAGUGGAGCUGUUUGGUACCUGUGGAGUCCCACUGCAGGGGUGUCUGAGCACCUCGCAUUUGGCUCAGAAAAGCUGCCCUUGCACAGUCCACCAAGAGGGUUGUGAAGUCCUGGGGACUUGCCAGUUCAGUUCACUAGUUGUAAAGUAUUUUGCCACGUUACAGCUAUGGUUUAAACACUUGAGAGGAAAGCUGGUGGUGGGGAGAGGAAUUAUGGGUUCACCAGCAGCGUUUGUGCAUUAGAGGCUCUGUUUGGAGGUUCAGAUGUCCUCAUACAUCUGCUGUGAUACCUGUGUGUUACACACUUUCAGGUAUCUACUUGAAAAUAAGAGUGGGGCUCAGUUCUUGGCUGAUACGGGUAAAACAUGUUCCAGUGGGGAGAAGUUGGACCCAGAGUCAAGGAGUACAUUUAAAGAAUGAUGCUUUCUCACCACUUCAAUCCCCUGCACAGGAGCUGUACCCUAGAGCUGCUCUUCCCUGGGGUGGCCAUGCCAGCAUCAGCAGGGCAACACUUGGCCACAAGCUGCUCUGCUCACUGGCAGACAAAGCAACUGAAAGUCUCUGGCCUGCUUACAGCAGGUCUGACAAAGCAUAGCAACCUUUUCUGCCCUGAAAAUAUAAAUCCUGGUAGGUUAAGAAAUGAACCUGUACUGCUAUAGCUCACUGUUGCUAAACCCAUCUUCUGAGGGUUUUGAAAUAGAUAUUUAUGAGCAGAUGGUACUAAUCACUGCUGUAGUGAUAUACUCAGCUCCUGGUUUUGUGGUUUCUAAACGCCAGUUUUGGCAAGACUUUUUAAAAGCUAUUUGAGAAAGAAAGACAAUCUCUUGACACACAUCUCUGUGUAAAAUUUCUUUAGUUUUGCCAAUGGCAGUUGUUUGUAGAGACCCUGCAUAUUGUAGAGGCCACUGCUUGCUCCUGGCCAUUCACUAGAAUGGAAACUUGAACCAAUGAUAUUUAUAAUGAAUGUGCAAUAAAUCUGUGGAAAAGCUGCUUUG